rnacentral:rRNA from 1 species
GCUCCAGAGUUUGAUCCUGGCUCAGGAUGAACCGCUGGCGGCGUGCCUAAUACAUGCAAGUCGAGCGAACUGAUUAGAAGCUUGCUUCUAUGACGUUAGCGGCGGACGGGUGAGUAACACGUGGGCAACCUGCCUGUAAGACUGGGAUAACUUCGGGAAACCGAAGCUAAUACCGGAUAGGAUCUUCUCCUUCAUGGGGGAUGAUUGAAAGAUGGUUUCGGCUAUCACUUACAGAUGGGCCCGCGGUGCAUUAGCUAGUUGGUGAGGUAACGGCUCACCAAGGCCACGAUGCAUAGCCGACCUGAGAGGGUGAUCGGCCACACUGGGACUGAGACACGGCCCAGACUCCUACGGGAGGCAGCAGUAGGGAAUCUUCCGCAAUGGACGAAAGUCUGACGGAGCAACGCCGCGUGAGUGAUGAAGGCUUUCGGGUCGUAAAACUCUGUUGUUAGGGAAGAACAAGUACGAGAGUAACUGCUCGUACCUUGACGCUACCCUAGAGAGCACGUUCUGAGACC